UGGGGAAUAUUGCGCAAUGGAGGCAACUCUGACGCAGCCAUGCCGCGUGUGUGAAGAAGGCCCUAGGGUUGUAAAGCACUUUCAAUUGGGAGAAAAAGCUUGUCGUUAAUAGCGGCCAGCCUUGAUGUUACCUUUUAGAAGAAGCACCGGCUAACUCCGUGCCAGCAGCCGCGGUAAUACGGAGGGUGCGAGCGUUAAUCGGAAUUACUGGGCGUAAAGCGCGCGUAGGCGGUUGCUUAAGUCGGAUGUGAAAGCCCCGGGCUCAACCUGGGAACUGCAUUCGAUACUGGGCGACUAGAGUACGAGAGAGGGAGGUAGAAUUCCACGUGUAGCGGUGAAAUGCGUAGAUAUGUGGAGGAAUACCGGUGGCGAAGGCGGCCUCCUGGCUCGAUACUGACGCUGAGGUGCGAAAAGCGUGGGGAGCAAAACAGGAUUAGAUACCCUGGUAGUCCACGCCGUAAACGAUGUCUACUAGCCGUUGGGGUACUUGAGACCUUAGUGGCGCAGCUAACGCACUAAGUAGACCGCCUGGGAGUACGGCC
rnacentral:rRNA from 1 species